rnacentral:rRNA from 1 species
UACGUAGGCAGCAAGCGUUGUUCGGAGUUACUGGGCGUAAAGAGUGCGUAGGUGGUGCCCUAAGUCUGUUGUGAAAUCUCCCGGCUUAACUGGGAGGGUGCGGUGGAAACUGGGGUACUUGAGUGUGGGAGAGGUAAGCGGAAUUCCUGGUGUAGCGGUGAAAUGCGUAGAUAUCAGGAGGAACACCGGUGGUGUAGACGGCUUACUGGACCACGACUGACACUGAGGCACGAAAGCGUGGGUAGCAAACAGG